rnacentral:tRNA from 1 species
AGGCAGAAGCCAAAUUGGGCGCCUAGCUGUUAAUUAGGAAGUUGUAGAGAUAAAAACUACCUGCCUAGG